UGUGAGCUCGAUGAGUAGGGCGGGACACGUGGUAUCCUGUCUGAAUAUGGGGGGACCAUCCUCCAAGGCUAAAUACUCCUGACUGACCGAUAGUGAACCAGUACCGUGAGGGAAAGGCGAAAAGAACCCCGGCGAGGGGAGUGAAAAAGAACCUGAAACCGUGUACGUACAAGCAGUGGGAGCACGCUUAGGCGUGUGACUGCGUACCUUUUGUAUAAUGGGUCAGCGACUUAUAUUCUGUAGCAAGGUUAACCGAAUAGGGGAGCCGAAGGGAAACCGAGUCUUAACUGGGCGUUAAGUUGCAGGGUAUAGACCCGAAACCCGGUGAUCUAGCCAUGGGCAGGUUGAAGGUUGGGUAACACUAACUGGAGGACCGAACCGACUAAUGUUGAAAAAUUAGCGGAUGACUUGUGGCUGGGGGUGAAAGGCCAAUCAAACCGGGAGAUAGCUGGUUCUCCCCGAAAGCUAUUUAGGUAGCGCCUCGUGAAUUCAUCUCCGGGGGUAGAGCACUGUUUCGGCAAGGGGGUCAUCCCGACUUACCAACCCGAUGCAAACUGCGAAUACCGGAGAAUGUUAUCACGGGAGACACACGGCGGGUGCUAACGUCCGUCGUGAAGAGGGAAACAACCCAGACCGCCAGCUAAGGUCCCAAAGUCAUGGUUAAGUGGGAAACGAUGUGGGAAGGCCCAGACAGCCAGGAUGUUGGCUUAGAAGCAGCCAUCAUUUAAAGAAAGCGUAAUAGCUCACUGGUCGAGUCGGCCUGCGCGGAAGAUGUAACGGGGCUAAACCAUGCACCGAAGCUGCGGCAGCGACGCUUAUGCGUUGUUGGGUAGGGGAGCGUUCUGUAAGCCUGUGAAGGUGUGCUGUGAGGCAUGCUGGAGGUAUCAGAAGUGCGAAUGCUGACAUAAGUAACGAUAAAGCGGGUGAAAAGCCCGCUCGCCGGAAGACCAAGGGUUCCUGUCCAACGUUAAUCGGGGCAGGGUGAGUCGACCCCUAAGGCGAGGCCGAAAGGCGUAGUCGAUGGGAAACAGGUUAAUAUUCCUGUACUUGGUGUUACUGCGAAGGGGGGACGGAGAAGGCUAUGUUGGCCGGGCGACGGUUGUCCCGGUUUAAGCGUGUAGGCUGGUUUUCCAGGCAAAUCCGGAAAAUCAAGGCUGAGGCGUGAUGACGAGGCACUACGGUGCUGAAGCAACAAAUGCCCUGCUUCCAGGAAAAGCCUCUAAGCAUCAGGUAACAUCAAAUCGUACCCCAAACCGACACAGGUGGUCAGGUAGAGAAUACCAAGGCGCUUGAGAGAACUCGGGUGAAGGAACUAGGCAAAAUGGUGCCGUAACUUCGGGAGAAGGCACGCUGAUAUGUAGGUGAAGUCCCUUGCGGAUGGAGCUGAAAUCAGUCGAAGAUACCAGCUGGCUGCAACUGUUUAUUAAAAACACAGCACUGUGCAAACACGAAAGUGGACGUAUACGGUGUGACGCCUGCCCGGUGCCGGAAGGUUAAUUGAUGGGGUCAGCGCAAGCGAAGCUCUUGAUCGAAGCCCCGGUAAACGGCGGCCGUAACUAUAACGGUCCUAAGGUAGCGAAAUUCCUUGUCGGGUAAGUUCCGACCUGCACGAAUGGCGUAAUGAUGGCCAGGCUGUCUCCACCCGAGACUCAGUGAAAUUGAACUCGCUGUGAAGAUGCAGUGUACCCGCGGCAAGACGGAAAGACCCCGUGAACCUUUACUAUAGCUUGACACUGAACAUUGAGCCUUGAUGUGUAGGAUAGGUGGGAGGCUUUGAAGUGUGGACGCCAGUCUGCAUGGAGCCGACCUUGAAAUACCACCCUUUAAUGUUUGAUGUUCUAACGUUGACCCGUAAUCCGGGUUGCGGACAGUGUCUGGUGGGUAGUUUGACUGGGGCGGUCUCCUCCUAAAGAGUAACGGAGGAGCACGAAGGUUGGCUAAUCCUGGUCGGACAUCAGGAGGUUAGUGCAAUGGCAUAAGCCAGCUUGACUGCGAGCGUGACGGCGCGAGCAGGUGCGAAAGCAGGUCAUAGUGAUCCGGUGGUUCUGAAUGGAAGGGCCAUCGCUCAACGGAUAAAAGGUACUCCGGGGAUAACAGGCUGAUACCGCCCAAGAGUUCAUAUCGACGGCGGUGUUUGGCACCUCGAUGUCGGCUCAUCACAUCCUGGGGCUGAAGUAGGUCCCAAGGGUAUGGCUGUUCGCCAUUUAAAGUGGUACGCGAGCUGGGUUUAGAACGUCGUGAGACAGUUCGGUCCCUAUCUGCCGUGGGCGCUGGAGAAUUGAGGGGGGCUGCUCCUAGUACGAGAGGACCGGAGUGGACGCAUCACUGGUGUUCGGGUUGUCAUGCCAAUGGCACUGCCCGGUAGCUAAAUGCGGAAGAGAUAAGUGCUGAAAGCAUCUAAGCACGAAACUUGCCCCGAGAUGAGUUCUCCCUGACUCCUUGAGAGUCCUGAAGGAACGUUGAAGACGACGACGUUGAUAGGCCGGGUGUGUAAGCGCAGCGAUGCGUUGAGCUAACCGGUACUAAUGAACCGUGAGGCUUAACCUU
rnacentral:rRNA from 1 species